rnacentral:rRNA from 1 species
AACAUCGCCUUUUGAAAGAAUAGAAGGUCUAACCUGCCCACUGAAUAAGUUAAAGGGCCGCGGUAUUUUGACCGUGCAAAGGUAGCAUAAUCAUUAGUCUUCUAAUUAAAGGCUGGAAUGAAUGGUUGGACGAGGUUCUAGCUGUCUCACUAAAAUAAAUUUGAAUUUAGCUUUUUAGUCAAAAGGCUAAAAUAUAGUUGGAGGACGAGAAGACCCUAUAGAGCUUUACGUUGGACUUUUUUAACUUGUUUAGGAUGAUUCUAGUUUUAAAGGAUAAGCGUUUCGUUGGGGUGACGGGAAGAUAAAAUAAACUCUUUUUAAUUUUUAACAUUGAUGUAUGAAUUAG